CAUCCCAAACAUAUAAGAUAGCAUCAAGUCAUGAAGCUUUCCUUUAUCCCUAAGGGAAUAAGGGAGAACAAAACUAGAAGAACCACUCUAUAAUGCUUGUAAAUCUUGACUAUAACUUGAAUAUCACAUAUUGUUUCUGUUUCCUUGUUAAAUUUCACAAGGAUAACCUCCCUAUGCUUAGCAUCCAGUCCCUACGUUGCAGAAAACAUAAAAGAUAGCAAGUGGUAAUGUACUCUUGGUGUGUAUUCUAAGAACUCAGGGGAUCAAUUUUUAAUAAAUAUUGAAAAUUAAACUUCUUUUUACUUUCCAUGUAAAAGCUAAUCUUUAUUGUGACGAUCAGAUUAUUUCACGUUGUAACUUGUAUUUAUCUCAGCUCUCCUCCUUUCUAACGUAACAACUUACCACUAAAGUAUAUACCUCGAUAAUAUAUGGCUAGAUGUAUAGGAUCCACUCAUUCUAUAUAUUAAACCUUUAUGAAGUGAUUUUAGAAGGAAAAUCUGAUAAGAUUUAGCAUCACUCAAAAAAAUGGAACUAAAACUUUUUUAUGAACAAAUAUCGAAGAGGCAGAAUUUGUGUGUGUGAUAGUGUAUAUUUGGUAGCUCUAGGAUCUAAACCCAAUUGGAGAAGAGAACAGAUAAAUGAGAACAAAAACAAAGGCUUACAAGGACAAAAGAAAUAUAUAGUGUAAGGGUCAGAAAAUUCUAACACAAGAACGAGUGGCUUCAUCACCAGUCGAUUCAGAGAGGAUGACUAGCAUUCUCAAGGCAGCUUGUAGUAACAGGCAUCAAGAACAGUAGCAAACAAAAAGAGCUGCAACGUGUGGAGCCACACCAAGCAUUUUUCAAAGCCUCUUUUUUGUAGCUUAACAGAUUCGAUCCACAAUUUACUAUACAGGACCAGACCCUUUUUGUAGAGUUGGCCGGUGAUAAUAGCUAAAUAUACCUGUAAACUCACAUCAAGCUUCAAUAUUUCGAGCAAAUAAUUAAUUUCUUAUUUUCAAUUUUCAAUUGGUUUAUAUUUUUUUUUUUAUUAAUGUUCUUCAACUCAAUAUAAUUAAUUAGUACGAACACAUAUAGAUGCUCCACAUGAAGAAAAUUUUGCAACAAAGCAUGCCUCUAGUAGCUGAUCGAUGGAUGAAAACAAGAAGAUUAUGAUGCCUCCAGUUGCCUUUAGCACAGAGAUUGAAGUACCUCCCACACACGUUGACAAGUAGAUUAGGUCUCUUACAAGCAUUUCAAUAUCGCACACAAUGACACAAACAAGAACUAGCUAUAGCACACAAGACAAAGUACAAUACAAAGCAAAGACAUCCAAAUUCUUUCACAGCAUAAGAUGUUGCUAAAACCAAAGAAACCAUCAACUAAACUACAAAUUACAGGUAUAUAAUGAAUCCAUUGUCUUAAGAUUUGUUUUGGAGUUCAUGCUGCAAUUGUAAAAUGAAGUUAGUUUUCCACAAUUUACACUUUGGUUUCAAUCUAGAACUUAGGACCUGUUUAGUAUUAAUUUUCGACCUGUUUUUUUAAUAAAAAAACUAAUUAAAAGUAGGUUGCAAAGCAAUACUAAACAAGCCUUAAAAACAAUAAUAAGACUAUUCAAUAUACAAAUCUCUUCCUGAAUUAUUGUCCAUUUUUAUUUUCACUUCAAGAAGAAUAUUUUUUAUUUAAACUACAAUUAAACGUGUGUAAAAGAAUUUGCUUUAGUACAUCAAUUUUUAUAACUAAAACCAAUUGGCUAAAACUAGAAGUACAGUUGCUACUUGCUAGCACUCAUCUUCUUUUUUCUUUUCUUUGUUCUCAAAACAAACAAAUGGCCAAGGUCCAUUUCUCAAGAAAGCAUUAAUUUUAGCCCUAGAUGUCAAAGAUCAUAAAGGAAGAGGGG